CGAGUGGGAGUGACUGUGGGGGCCAGGUCUCGGCCUUCGGGACGCCGGCCGUCCGGUGCCUUCGCCGGGUGCGACAUUUAUUGGAACGUGGACCUCCCCAGUCUCAGCCGGACUGGAGCCACCGGCCGCCGGUGUUCUGGUGCUGUUAUCGGAGCGUGCAGGCCAUCUGUUUGCCGCUGACGUUCGGCGAGCCCGGAGUUACCUGCAGCGCAGGGGUCUUGUGGCAGCUGACAUCCCACGGUUUAACAGAUUACCUACAAGGGUUUCUUUAUGGGCCAUUUCCAAAGAAGAUAAAUGGCUAAAAUGAUUUGAUUUACCAAGUGAACCCCACCAUGAGUUGAAUACCCGCAAUCCUUUCUUUUUGUCUCCUGUUAGAGUUGUUUCUGUGUGUAUGGGAAGCUUGCUUUUGCAGUUUUAGUCAUGAGUGCAAAUUUUUUUGCACAGGUUUACAGAAUAUUGGUGUUACUAUUCUUAAAUAACAGUGAAGACAGAAGACUGGAUUUGUCUUGAAUACCAAUGAAGACUGAUAGAAAUGAGACUGGAUUUGUCCUGCUGGGAAGGGCAAUGCUGCAGCUCUGCUCCGCCUCCACCAGUCAUCUCUGCAUGACUCACCAGUAAUUUGUAUCGAUCAGCUCUACACAAAAUAUUUAUUAUUCAUUUCCUAUUAGUCAGUCCUGCCAGUCUCCAUUUUGUGUCUGCUCUAGGUUUAACUUCAGUUGCUUUUAAUAAUACUCUUCAAUUUGGGCUUAAAGGUGUUGCAUUGGUGUCGGCUGCUUUUAAAUAUCAUAAAUCCGAAAUGUCUGUAUGAUUUGUGGACGCAAAUUAGUUUAUUGUUGAAAGUUUUUUUUUUUUUUUUCAUUCAUCAUUGAUCCUCAAAUUGGGGUGAUAAGAGGAGGUAAUUUAGUCUUCAGAAAUUAGGGCAGGGGUUUCCAGACCUCUUGUAGGGUACCCCCAGCUGAUCCAGGGCUUGAUUAGUUGUAUCGGGUGCAUUUGAGGUGGAACGCAUAAAAUACCUGUACCUGGCUGGGGGUCCCCAGGGAGAGGUUUUCUUCCAUAGUGAACUAGGGGAACAAGGCACCCCAAGUAAGGUAGUGACUACACAUUCAUGAUUUUACAUUUUUUUUGGAUGAAAAGUAUGGGAUGCAGUCAGUUACAGCAUCUCUGAAGUGCUUAAAAACAUUCUAUUAUUACAUUUUCUUUUGUAUGUGCACAGGGGCAGCUGUACAUUGUAGCCUGAUAUUCCUGGAACUCCAUUAUAAAAAAUGAAUGAAAGCAGUGUGUGCAUUGUGGAAUUAUGCUAUUCAAUCUCUCCUGAGGCAGGCAGCCUUCAUUAUGUCAGGGCGGGUGUUAUACUUUAUAGGACUUGGGUCUAGAUGGAAAUGUGAAUGUGCUUUUCGUUCUUUGAGAUUAUAUGGUCCGAGGUGCUCUGCUUUAUCACCUUAUGGUCUUGUGGUUACUCUGCAAAACCACAGAAGCUCAAUGCAUUUGUUCCCGGACAAAGUACUGGUAGAGGUGUUGACGGUUCAUUAAAGGGGGGCACACCUGUUUGGACCUAACGGUGGGAAAAGCAGUUCCGUUUAGCAGUCAUGGGAAUUCUGUACCAGCAUGUCAGUUAAGCCCUUAAACCAAGAUAAUUAAAAAUCCUUUGGUGUUCUUUAUGAAUUGUGAGAUGCUCCUGGCUGAAACUCUUACCUGGCCUUACUAAUGUGGCUCCCUGAUAGUGCUCAGAUAUUAGACAGCUGUAUGGGGCUUCUCCCUGGCCUUACUAAUGUGGCUCCCUGAUAGUGCUCAGAUAUUAGACAGCUGUAUGGGGCUUCUCCCUGGCCUUACUAAUGUGGCUCCCUGAUAGUGCUCAGAUAUUAGACAGCUGUAUGGGGCUUCUCCCUGGCCUUACUAAUGUGUAAAUACCUGCCAAAUCAACUAGGUGGGUGCUGCACAUGUUGCAUAAAAGCCAUCUUGAUGAUCGAAGAGAGGAUGUUCCAAGCGGACACCUCCCUGUUCUUCCUACGCGCACAUUCCUCAGGAUGUGUUAUUGAAAACCGUCAGCUCCUAUCUCAUAUUCACAAAUGGGCCGGUCCCUGAAUUCACUUCAUGUUUUUGUUCUAUUAUCUUUCUGUUGUGUUUCUGUGGAAUUCUGUUUUUGUUUAUACGUUCAGUCAAACAGUGGACCUCUGCUCUUAUGGGAGUUAUCUAUUACUCAGUGUGGCAUGUCGUCAGUGUUUUUAAAAAAACAAUAAAAAAAACCUGAAAGCAUAAACAUUGUAUUUCCAUAUUUGAAAAAUAAAAAAUUUUCAUCACUGAUAUUUCACAGCUCUCUGCCUAGUAAGGUAACCAUGUAACUAAGACAUUACACGUAACAUGCAAUGUAACAAUAAAUGUAAUCGAAUAAUAAAACGUUUUCUUAUUUCUCAUUUGAAAA